rnacentral:rRNA from 1 species
AUUGAACGCUGGCGGCAGGCCUAACACAUGCAAGUCGAGCGGAUGAAGGGAGCUUGCUCCUGGAUUCAGCGGCGGACGGGUGAGUAAUGCCUAGGAAUCUGCCUGGUAGUGGGGGAUAACGUCCGGAAACGGGCGCUAAUACCGCAUACGUCCUGAGGGAGAAAGUGGGGGAUCUUCGGACCUCACGCUAUCAGAUGAGCCUAGGUCGGAUUAGCUAGUUGGUGGGGUAAAGGCCUACCAAGGCGACGAUCCGUAACUGGUCUGAGAGGAUGGUCAGUCACACUGGAACUGAGACACGGUCCAUACUCCUACGGGAGGCAGCAGUGGGGAAUAUUGGACAGUGGGCGAAAGCCUGAUCCAGCCAUGCCGCGUGUGUGAAGAAGGUCUUCGGAUUGUAAAGCACUUUAAGUUGGGAGGAAGGGCAGUAAGUUAAUACCUUGCUGUUUUGACGUUACCAACAGAAUAAGCACCGGCUAACUUCGUG